CUCUUUCUCGAUUCAGUGGAUGGUGGUGCAUGGCCGUUCUUAGUUGGUGGAGUGAUCUGUCUGGUUAAUUCCGAUAACGAACGAGACUCUCCCCUGCUAACUAGUCGGUUGGAUCUUGAUCAGUGGGUUGCGUGCUGAGUAGCUCUCGCUGCGAGUGUGUGCGCGCGYGUGUGGGGCAACCUKCCGCGUGUGUGCUGCGUAGYGUUGGACGCCUCGGAUCACACUGCACCCCAAGUCCGCCGCUUAUGCUAUAACUCUUCUUAGAGGGAUUCACGGCACUGAAGCCGUAAGAGACUGAGAGCAAUAACAGGUCUGUGAUGCCCUUAGAUGCUCUGGGCCGCACGCGCGCUACAAUGCCGNNCACAGCAGGUGUUUCUCCUGCUCCGACAGGAGCGGGUAACCCUCUGAAAGCCAGUGUUUUUGCAAGUGUCACCUCCCUCGUGGAGUGGCACAAAGGCGUGCUUGGGCCUGGGACUUGCAAUUCUUUCCCACCAACGAGGAAUGCCUAGUAGCGGCGGGUCACUGAGCCCGCUGUGACUCAGUCCCUGCCCUUUGUACACACCGCCCGUCGCUACUACCGAUUGGGUGUACCAGUGAGAGCCUUGGACUGGCGUCCGUUGUUGCUUUUAGUGACAAACGGGUCCGACGGAAAGAGGUCCGAACUGGUGCACUUAGAGGAAGUAAAAGUCGUAACAAGGUUUCCGUAGGUGAACCUGCGGAAG
rnacentral:rRNA from 1 species